rnacentral:pre_miRNA from 1 species
AAACUACUCCCUCUGUCCCAAAAUUCUUGUCUUAAAUUUGUCUAAAUACGGAUGUAUCAAGUCACGUUUUAGUAUUAGAUACAUCUGUAUCUAGACAAAUCUAAGACAAGAAUUUUGAAACGGAGGGAGUACAUA